rfam:Lactococcus phage P087, complete genome.
CAGGAUAUAGCUCAGCUUGGUAGAGCACUGCUUUUGGGAAGCAGGGGUCAAAGGUUCAAAUCCUUUUAUCUUGA